rfam:Oreochromis niloticus linkage group LG2, whole genome shotgun sequence.
GAUCCUGGCCAGCUUUGCAGGGUGGGCAGUCAGCCUGUGUGCAUAAGGACCAGCUGUGCAAACCCAUGCAAAACUGACCAUGGCC